AGCUCUACAGCCAUCUCUGUUUACUUGGCCAAAAGGAAGAUUAAUCAGAUGAGGAGGGAGAAAUAGAUAUAGACAGAGGGAAUAUGAGGAAGAAGAGGGGAGUGUUGAUUACGGGUCAAAGAGAUGCCAUUGGCGAGGUUAAAAAGGAAGAAGUGAAAGAGAGGUGAUGAUAAAGUAAACAGUAGGUCACUGAUUUGUCAGUCUCCUCUUAUUGUUUUGUUGGAAGUUUAGUGGAAAAAGUAAUUUGCUACUCACAAUUCCUAUGGCACAUUUUGUUUCAAUUUAAAAAUAAGUAUACUUCCCUCUAUUCAUUAUAAAUAUCUAAUUUACUUUACGUUCAUUAAAAAAAUAUCAAGUUUUAUUGGCCAAAAGGAAGAUUAAUCAGAUGAGGAGGGAGAAAUAGAUAUAGACAGAGGGAAUAUGAGGAAGAAGAGGGGAGUGUUGAUUACGGGUCAAAGAGAUGCCAUUGGCGAGGUUAAAAAGGAAGAAGUGAAAGAGAGGUGAUGAUAAAGUAAACAGUAGGUCACUAACUUGUCAGUCCCCUCUUAUUGUUUUGUUGGAAGCUUAGUGGAAAAA
rnacentral:lncRNA from 1 species